ACUUGAGUUGCAAGAAAGAGGAGGAAGAGGAAUUUACAACGUGUAAGAGGAGAAAAUACGUAGAGAAUGUGGAGGAACACCCAGUGGGGAAGGAGACUCUCUGGUCUGUAACUGACGCUGAGGAGCGAAAGCGUGGGGAGCGAACAGGAUUAGAUACCCUGGUAGUCCACACCGUAAACGAUGAGUGCUAAGUGUUAGGGGGUUUCCGCCCCUUAGUGCUGCAGCUAACGCAUUAAGCACUCCGCCUGGGGAGUACGGUCGCAAGACUGAAACUCAAAGGAAUUGACGGGGGCCCGCACAAGCGGUGGAGCAUGUGGUUUAAUUCGAAGGCAACGCGAAGAACCUUACCAGGUCUUGACAUCCUCUGACAAUCCUAGAGAUAGGACGUCCCCUUCGGGGGCAGAGUGACAGGUGGUGCAUGGUUGUCGUCAGCUCGUGUCGUGAGAUGUUGGGUUAAGUCCCGCAACGAGCGCAACCCUUGAUCUUAGUUGCCAGCAUUCAGUUGGGCACUCUAAGGUGACUGCCGGUGACAAACCGGAGGAAGGUGGGGAUGACGUCAAAUCAUCAUGCCCCUUAUGACCUGGGCUACACACGUGCUACAAUGGACAGAACAAAGGGCAGCGAAACCGCGAGGUUAAGCCAAUCCCACAAAUCUGUUCUCAGUUCGGAUCGCAGUCUGCAACUCGACUGCGUGAAGCUGGAAUCGCUAGUAAUCGCGGAUCAGCAUGCCGCGGUGAAUACGUUCCCGGGCCUUGUACACACCGCCCGUCACACCACGAGAGUUUGUAACACCCGAAGUCGGUGAGGUAACCUUUAGGGAGCCAGCCGCCGAAU
rnacentral:rRNA from 1 species